GACGAACGCUGGCGGCGUGCCUAAUACAUGCAAGUAGAACGCUGAAGGAGGAGCUUGCUCUUCUGGAUGAGUUGCGAACGGGUGAGUAACGCGUAGGUAACCUGCCUGGUAGCGGGGGAUAACUAGUGGAAACGAUAGCUAAUACCGCAUAAAAUUGAGUAUUGCAGGAUAGUCAAUUAAAAGGUGCAAUUGCGUCACUACCAGAUGGACCUGCGUUGUAUGAGCGAGUUGGUGAGGUAACGGCUCACCAAGGCAACGAUACAUAGCCGACCUGAGAGGGUGAUCGGCCCCCCUGGGACUGGGACACGGCCCAGACUCCUACGGGGGGCAGCCGUAGGGAAUCUUCGGCCAUGGACGGAAGUCUGACCGCGCCACGCCGCGUGAGUGAAGAAGGUUUUCGGAUCGUAAAGCUCUGUUGUGAGAGAAGAACGAGUGUGAGAGUGGAAAGUUCACACUGUGACGGUAUCUUACCAGAAAGAGCCGGCUAACUACGUG
rnacentral:rRNA from 1 species